rnacentral:lncRNA from 1 species
UAAAUGAGAAAACUAAUUAAAAACAAUUUUUUUAAUACAAAACUCAAUGUAAUUAAAAUAUAACAACAAAAAAAGAAUUUACAACAUCAAAUAAUUCAUUAUGACUCUUAUUAAAAUUUUUACACAUGUGUAAAUUUGUUAAAUACAACAAAUUUACACAUGUGUAAAUGAGAAAGCUUACACAUGUAUAUUUUUUCUAUAUUUAGAAACAUAUGUAAAUUUAAACGUGUAAAUUUAAUUUCUAAUAUUGUAUUCGAAUAAUAAUGACAAGUGUAAAAAAAAUUCGAAUUUAAAUUGUUUUUACCAUGUUCUUGUGAUUUUUCCAUUCGUUCUCACGGUUCUCACAAUAUUUGUCGUUCUGAUUUAAACAUUCCCCUAUACAUAUAAUUAAAUGUCUCAACCACUAAUCCAUAAGUAAUAUAAUAUUCAUCUUUUAAAAGACCAAUACAAACAUCUAUAUUAAAAAAACCAGACUUCAUUGUGGGAUGACUCGAUCAUUUUCCCAAUUUAAACUUAUUUAUUCGAGUAAAGUACUACAUAUAAAAUAGCAAAAAUGAAACAAAAUCAAUCACGACGAUUUUGACAAUGGGCGAGAUAACGUGAUUGGUGAGAUCAAAGACAAAUUAUUUCGGUUUCAUACUUAAUUUCUUGUUUUGUAGAAAGACUAAACUUGAUGAUUAAAGUUUCCUUUUAACUAAAGAGGAGGGCUCAAUAUGCGUAUAUAAAUGCGAUAAGAUCAAAACCUACAUUUAAUAAUUUGAUUACUGGCUUAACUUUAUAGUGAUUAAUAUGAUCUUCGGCCAAUGGUUUCAUGGAUUAGUGAUACCAAUUGUUUAUCAUCAUUAAAAUUACACUUUCAAAAUAGAUUUUAAGGGAGUGUGUGUUUGUCGUUAAAAAUACUUUAAUCAUUAGUUAAAAUUUAAAAAAAAAACAAACAAAUAAACUAAAAGUAACAUAGAUCUUUUAUAUAAUUUAUUCCAUGACUACUAAUCAUAAUUUUCUCCUCAUCUCUCUAAAAAUCUUACUUAUUUAAUAAGAUUUCUUGGGUGAUGAUAUUCUUAUCUUCUACUUGUCUUCAUCCUUAAAUUUUGUAGCAGUUGCCGAACACGACGAGACAAGUUACUAUAUAUUUUCUUUUUGAACUGCUUAAAGAUUUUCACCAAUGGAAUUUGAAUCUGUGAUAUGAAAACGCAAAGCCUUAUGCAACACCUUAUACCAUGGUUGCAAAAGUCGCUAGGCGCUCCCUAGUCGGAUUUGAGAGUACUCAGGAGUAUUCGGGAAGUACUCGGCCUAGGCGGAGAUUACUCGGGGAGUAAUUGGCCUAGGCGAACAAUACUCAGACCUCGGCAGUUGACCUUGUAGCGAGUACUCGGGGAGUACUCGGAGCCUAUGCGGGACUUUUACAACCAUGCCUUAUACCAUUAGGCCUUUUGGUAGAUGGCCAUGGGUAAACAUUUGUGGCCGGGAAUGUUCUUACUAAGACCGAUGUUUUUGUGUGAAUGUGUUUUCAUAAUCUAUGUCAAUAUUGAAUUAAAAUUGCUUUUAUAGUUCUAUUUAUUUAUUUUUUUUAUGACAACAUACACAUACACAUUAUACACCAAUGUUCCCCAUAGUUCUCGAACCAUAAUUAUUAUAGAAAACACCUUACUAUACUCGUCACCACAAGACUAUGGCUACUUUAACCCUUUAAAAUAAUUUGCCAUGACAAAAAGAAUCAGAAUUUAGGAAAUUAAAAGUGUUCAAGACUUGUUAUAAGAAUAAUGAAAGGUGCACAUUCUUUAGUGGUUUUCUAGAUUUUACAAAAAAAGAAUAAGGGAAACAAUAUUGGUCAAAAAAAAAAAAAAUCAUCUUUGUCAACGUGGCUUCUUAUUUCUUUUGAAUACAUUAAGUUAUUAACCAGUACAAAAUUAUUUUCAGCCCAUUGAGCAUGAUCCCCACAUGGCCACUUGUACCAAAGCAGCCAUAAUAUUUUUAAUUAUAGAACCAAUUAAUUCCCACAAUCAUCGAUCCAUGUGUGAUAUAAUAUUUAUUCUUUUAAAGACAAAAACAAACAUUCUGGCAUGAGUACUCAUUUUCCCACUUUGGAAUCAUUUAUUUGACUAAAGUACUGCAUAUAAAAUUAUAAUUAUAAAAUAGCAAAAGAGAAAACUCAUCAUCAUGAUUUUGGCAAUCGUGAGAUAGCGUGUUUGGUGGUAUUGAAUACUAAAAUUUUAUUGGUUUCACAUUUUUGUUUCUGGUUUUCAAGAAAGGUUUAAUUUAAGAAAAGCUAAAUUUGAUGAUUAAAGUCUCGUUCAACUAGUUAUUUUAAAAUUUUCACUAAAGAGGAGGAUUCCUUACACAUUAUACACUACGACAAAAUACGAUACAACAUCUUACGUUACGAUACGAUACGAUACGAUACGUCACCAUAUAAUACGAUACGACACGUC